GAACGCUGGCGGCGUGCCUAAUACAUGCAAGUAGAACGCUGAAGAGAGGAGCUUGCUCUUCUUGGAAGAGUUGCGAACGGGUGAGUAACGCGUAGGUAACCUGCCUUGUAGCGGGGGAUAACUAUUGGAAACGAUAGCUAAUACCGCAUAACAAUGGGUGACCCAUGUCAUUCAUUUGAAAGGGGCAACUGCUCCACUACAAGAUGGACCUGCGUUGUAUUAGCUAGUAGGUGAGGUAACGGCUCACCUAGGCGACGAUACAUAGCCGACCUGAGAGGGUGAUCGGCCACACUGGGACUGAGACACGGCCCAGACUCCUACGGGAGGCAGCAGUAGGGAAUCUUCGGCAAUGGGGGCAACCCUGACCGAGCAACGCCGCGUGAGUGAAGAAGGUUUUCGGAUCGUAAAGCUCUGUUGUAAGUCAAGAACGAGUGUGAGAGUGGAAAGUUCACACUGUGACGGUAGCUUACCAGAAAGGGACGGCUAACUACGUGCCAGCAGCCGCGGUAAUACGUAGGUCCCGAGCGUUGUCCGGAUUUAUUGGGCGUAAAGCGAGCGCAGGCGGUUUGAUAAGUCUGAAGUUAAAGGCUGUGGCUCAACCAUAGUUCGCUUUGGAAACUGUCAAACUUGAGUGCAGAAGGGGAGAGUGGAAUUCCAUGUGUAGCGGUGAAAUGCGUAGAUAUAUGGAGGAACACCGGUGGCGAAAGCGGCUCUCUGGUCUGUAACUGACGCUGAGGCUCGAAAGCGUGGGGAGCGAACAGGAUUAGAUACCCUGGUAGUCCACGCCGUAAACGAUGAGUGCUAGGUGUUGGGUCCUUUCCUGGGAUUCAGUGCCGCAGCUAACGCAUUAAGCACUCCGCCUGGGGAGUACGA
rnacentral:rRNA from 1 species